CGCAGCCCGCAGCUACCAGCUCAUUGACUAUUCCCCUUAAUUGAUUCUGAAACAAUAUGGAAUAUGCAAACACACAAAAGACUCCAGUGGAAAAGAAGGUGGUAAGUCCCCAGUUGAUACCAGCGGGCUUUGCAUUGUCAUUUUUUGAUAAGGGUGAGGAAACUGUGUUGCUAAUGGGCAUUCUGGAAAUCACCAGAAUUUAGUUAUUAUUUCUACAUUUCAUUUACUAAAUUUAUAUCCCACAGUUUUUCCCAAAGGAGCCCAGGGCAGCACCAUACAAGCAAUAUUGUAGAAUAACCGAGAUACACACACAUCACAAAAAAAAAUCAGAUAGAAUUACUCAUGUGGAAUAAAAUAAACUGGACACUGAGGGCCUUCUGGCGGUUCCCUCCUUGCGAGAAGGGAGGGUACAGGGAACAAGGCAGAGGGCCUUCUCGGCAGUGGCGCCCACACUGUGGAAUGCCCUCCCAUCAGAUGUCAAGGAAUUAAACAACUAUAUGACUUUUAGAAGACAUUGGAUGGCAGCCCUGUAUGGGGAAGUUUUUAAUGUUUGAUGUUUUAUUGUGUUUUUAAUAUUCUGUUGGGAGCCACCCAGAGUGGCUGGGGAACCCAGCCAGAUGGGCGAGGUAUAAAUAAUAAAAUCAUUAUUAUUAUUUGGUGUUCAAAGUUCCAUAAAUGGAUGUGGGGGCUUUUUCCUGUUUCUCAUUCACAUGCAAGUAAAUGUGUAUUGCUAAGUAACCAUGUUGCAGAUAGCCUGUUAAUCCAUAUCCUCUGACUGUUGAGGUUCAUUGCAAAUGGUUGGUAAGAUUACAAAGGUGGAGGGCAAGGUGCAUGACACACAGCUCUAUUCUCCAGCAGAAGGGUAUGCUCAGGGAACUCAGGAGGAAGAGCUGAAGGGCACCACCGCCUUGUAGCUUCCUCACUCUGCCUAAUAGUAGGACUGGCCCUUAUGCUAUGGUUGGGACAAGCCUCAGGGCAGGUAUGAACAGACUAGAUGACCCUAUGCACCAAAACUAAGACUUGACUUACCUAACUCUCAAGAACUACUGUGGCUGCCUUGCCAUACCUUCCAAUUUAUGCAUGGUUUUCCUGUUGUCAUUUCCUGAAAAGGGGCAAGUAAAGCAGAAAGAAAAGUUUCAACGUAGCUAAGAAAGAGAAUCAUCUUUGCAAGUGCCAGGAAAAUUAAGCCGUGAAAGGAAAUGCACUUAACUAGUGUGCUUAUGAAACAAAGAUGACACACCAAAUAAAAAGUUUGAAUUUGUUUGAAGAGCUUAUGGGGGGUGUGCGUGUGGUGUUGUUAUUUAAUCCCCACUACUAUUGAAAUGAGCCCCUAGUCUCAAGUACUUUUCACAUACCAGAGUGGUGAAUUUCCACAAAGCCUGCACUGAUGUUAUGUAUUUUCCUCCCAAGUGAAAUGCUCUUUAGUAAGUAAACAUGAGUAUUAGAUUGUGCUGUAGCUGGAGACAAUGAGAAAACCCUCCAUUUCAAAAUACAUCAGAAAGUAAAUCAUUUUUAAAAGCUUUGGAUAAUACUGAAGGGUUGAAUCUCUCAAACCUGAGAACAGGCCCGGCGUGGUUUCCUUCUUUGCUUCUCAUUUGCCUAUUGUGCUUGAUGGUACAAAACAAGUUAUAUAUUGUAUUACAAUUGCGUUGCAUAUAAUGUAGCAGGUACUUGAGUGCAACCUUCAAGAAUUGCCCAUAAUUGUAAAGGCUAUGUUCAGCAUUUUGGUACAAAAUUCCAUUUGGAACACUUCAGAAUGGAUUUUAUUUCUAGAUCAUUCAAACCACUCAGUGGUCCCUGCAAUUGUUAAUGGUCAGUGGCCAGGGGUGAUGGGAGUUGUAUUCCAGCAAUAUCUCAAGGACCACAAGCUCCUCAGCCCUGCUUUAUAGCAUAGUAACUGCAACAGCUUGGUUGUUUUCACAUUGUCCACUUUCGAUUGCAAGGACCUCUCUGUGUUCCCUAUGUAGCUCUGUAAGAUAACACACACACUAAUGGUGUGGCAAUAAUAAUAACAGCAACAUCAAUCCAGUAUUUGCCAACAUAGGGCAUAUACUCAGUAUGAAAUUACUAAAUGAAACGUGUGACAAAGAGGCCAUAUAUACAAUGCAAACUGACUUAGCUGAUGUGACCUUGUCUCCAUUGCCCUGUUGGGUAUCUGGCUUAUGGCAAGCAUAACUAGACUCCACUGGACAAAACAAAAGCAAAAAAACCACCCAGCUUGAAAAAUUUAAAAUUAAAGGUUUUAGCACAAAAGAGAAAACUCAUCCCAUUUCCACCAAAAUAUUAACAAACCUGUGCACAGGCAAACACAGAAGUCUAAAAGGCAGUAUCUUCCGACUUCCCUAAAUAAAUAAAUAAAACAGGUGUGUGAUUUAUUACCUAUGCCAAGAAGUCAUACAUUGAAUGGUUUAAAAAAGCAAACCAAUUUUGCCAUGUGGGGAUUUAUGAGUGCAAGAACAUUUUAUGGCAUAUCCAGAUCAGUUUCUCAUAGGGCAAAUGUUUUCUUGUGGGGAAAACAAGGAGAUGGAUGUCUGUUUAAUUCUAAGGAUACCUCCACAACACACACACACACACACACACACACACACACACACACACACCCCAAAGGAGAAAAUUCAGGGUGAGGUUAUUUUUAAAGUCCGUGAGUUGCAGGAUCCAAGCCAGGAGCAGGGUCUCUUAUUAAAACUGUUAACAUUCUAAAUACCUCCUCACAUUAAAAAAAGAAAGAAAGACUAUUCACUUUAACCAUGAUGAGCUCUAGUUCCCAGAUCAUGCUCUGUCCCAAACUAGAUGCAACACAUCAGUCUUCCCUAUAUAUUUUUUGGACAAUAAGUCCCAUUAGCUACGGCCCUUCAACAUCCGGAGGGCACUGGGUUACAGAAGGCUGUAAUACAUCAUGGUUGUAUGUACCAUUAAAAUAAAAUGAAAAGCAGAAUCAGACACUUCCACUUUCAGGAGAGGAAUGACAGGGGUGGGGAUGCUUACCUAUUUCCCCAGCUGCUUUUCUACUUAUAGGAAGGGAUGAUGGGAGUUGUAGUUCAGCAAUGUCUGGGGGAUCAAAUGUUCUCAGUCCCUGCUCUAAUUUAUUAAAUGUUGCAGUUGCAUUGAAUUGGUAAUAUUCUAGGGGUGGUGGUUGUAACAGCAUUUAUUAUUCAAGCCACACGGUGUUUUAUUUUAUUGCAUUGCUAGAAAUAUUGAUAUAAUCCUUUCCCCCACUAUCUUAAUAUUGCUUUUGCCAAUAACUCACAGAUUUCGGCUGCAACCUAUUAACACUUACCUGGAAGAACGUCUCACUGAACCGCAAGGGGCUUUACUCCAAGUAGACAUUAAUAGGACCACACUGUUCAGGUGCUGGAUACUGUCCCCCGGAAGUAGCCCCUCAGCUGUAAGUAAAAAACAACAACCAAAAAAAAAAAACAAAUCCAAAAGAGUUAAAUGCACUUUGGCAGAAAAUUGUUGAGUGGGUUUAACUUACAACGAUAAACAAUAAAUAAUAUAGUCUCUCUCUCUGAACACUACAGAGGCACGUGCAUUCUCUUCCAUUGAUUUUAUCACUUCAUCACACACAGCAAAUCUGAGUCAACAUGAGUGGCAAGUCUCUGAGGUAAAAAACGAACAAGUCAAGGCCAUGGAAGCAGAUCACAUGCUUAGGAAUUUGUCUAUUGUAACCAUAAUGAGGUGGCCUAUUGACUCCAAGGAGACAAUUCAGAUAUACAAUGUGCCCACUAAGGAGGUAGUGGAUGUCUCUUUUUCUCCCCAUUCCCCCCCCCCCCGCCCCUGCCACAUCCUCCUAGAGUAAAACAUAAGUUGAAGAGGUGAGGAACAUUUUAGAGAGGCAGGUAGAAUGAUACAUGCAGAUACCACAGGCAUCAGUGCACCCACCAGCACUUCCCACGGCCCCCACAGAAAGUCCAUCUCUUUUUUAAAAAGCAUUUUUACAAUUUAUAUACUCAUCAUUCAUCAUUUAUCUCUUGUCCUUGGGCUUCCCAAUCCAUCUCUCCAUGGCAAUUUAGAUAGUCUUUUGUUGGCUGCAUAUUCUAUUAUUCCACCCAUUUUUGUCUCAAAUCUUCCUUUAUUUAGUGUUCUCUGCUGCUCAUAUGUUCAUUCCUACUUGUAGGUUAAAUGGACUAUUAUACCCUCUAAGACACUUUUGUAGAGUACCCAUGGAAAGUCUCAUUAAAUAUCCCCUCAAAAAUCCACAAUGCAAGAGAGACAGCUUUUUCUCCCUCGUCAGUUCCUGUUUGCAGUGGCCUGGCCUAUCAAACAGUGACCACGCCCACUUAAAAAUACUCAAAUUUCACUGGAUGACAGCCACCCACCCUCCUUUGUGUUCAGAACAGAGGAGACUAUUUCUCUCCGUGAGAGAACACAGUGGUGGUUGAUGUUAUUGUCUUUUUUUCACUGGGGAGUGCUGAUGGGGAACAUGUUAUGCCAUAACAUGCAUGACAGCCAUUUUGAGCUAUGCCAUGAUGUCAUUGUCCAUUAUGCCACAUCCCCAUGACAACCAUUUUGUGAUUGGCAUUAUGAUUAUUAUUAUUACAGUCGUACCUUGGAAGUCGAAUGGAAUCCAUUCCGGAAGUCCAUUCGACUUCAAAAACAUUUGAAAACCAAAUUGCAGCUUCUGAAUCAGAAGCCGCCCCCACAACACACUUAAAAGCAUAUCGGCUGUUAAUCUGCCAAAGCAAUUUAUCAAAAUGUAAAAUGUGCCCACUUUGAUACAACACCAUUUCAGAGAUUGUCUAGUUUGGUAGAAAAGAAAUACUCAUUGAUGAAACUAUUUGUUAAAACAUUAUGACAGCAAUCGCUAAUGUGGCACCCUGAGAUGUCAUUGCACUACAGUUCCCACCAGUCCCAGCCAGCAUGACCCACGGGCAAGGAUGUUGGAAGUAGCAGUCCAACAUUUGUCUAGCCCCGCAUCACAAAUACGCUUGAGGACAUUUAUUUACAUUCCAAUACAUAGAUUGCGUAAAAUACAUUAUCCUUCAAGCAGCCAAACGUCUGUGCAUUUUCGGAUAUCCAGUUUCACUGCUGACUUUAUGCUCUGCUCAAGCACCACCACUAGUCCCAGUAAAAUGAAACAUCAGGCCAAAUUUUCCUCUCAAUUACACUUCUGCAACAGCAUUUUAGUAGUCAAGGUUUUAUUCCCACAUAAAUUUGAUUUCAUCGGCAUUUGAAGAGAGCAACAGAGACAAUGGCUGACUAGUUGAUUUCAGAUUUACAUUCUCUAAAUACAAGGGCAUAUGGUCUGACUUGGAGGGGGAUAUCAAGUGCUCACCAAAGCCAGACACAGUUCAUGAAGAGGAGUGUAAAAUAGCACAUCAGUGGCUUGGUCACAGUCAUUUAACAUCUGCUACACUCAUGUUAAUUCAAGUUGGUCAUCGCACGAAAGGAAAAGGGGGGGGAUCACAAAUGCAAGCUAAGGCAACUGCUCAGGAAAUGAUGUUGCAUAUGAGGCCUGAGUUUGACUGACGCUGGAAACCCCACCCCCACUUUUUUAAAGGGGGAGUGUAACCUCUGUUGCAUCUUCAUUGGGUUGCACUGAACUUUCAACCAGGAUUCCCCUCCCCCCCAGUUUCAAAGGAGAUGGUAAAGUGUCCCAAAAAUACACAAAAAGCUUGCAUACCUUUUCGUGAAAGGUUUAUAUAUAUACAGCUGUCGUCUUCCUGGCCUCAUCUGCUGUUUGGGCACCGUGUGUGUGUGUGUGUGUGUGUGUGUGUGUGUGUGUGUGUGUUAAAAAGGCAGCUUUCUUUCUGAACCCAUCCCAGCCAAUCAUGGAUCACAGAACAAUGCAAUGGCAUUGUAUCAACAUUCAGCAAUUCAGAUUCAUCCGUGUAAUGAGAUCACAAAGGCAAAUCAGAGUGAGGAUAUUGUCCUAAUUCCAAAUGGCAUUAUGUUGUAGGACAGGCAUCCCCAACCUGUGGCCCUCCAGAUGUUUUGGCCUACAGCUCCCAUGAUCCCUAGCUAACAGGACUAGUGGUCAGGGAUGAUGGGAAUUGUAGUCCAAAACAUCUGUAGGGCCGAAGGUUGGGGAUGCCUAUUGUAGGACAUUGGGAAGAGGGAAGCCUGCCCUAAAAGAGACUGAAAGCAUCUCGUUGCUUAGCGUAAAUUGUGGCAGCAGAGUCACCUGGUGGAUUGGGGAGAGGACUCUGAAUGACAUCUCACUCCAGCAUCCUCCCUCUUUUGCUGCCAGCCUCACCUUUUAUAGUAAUAAGUCCAUUGUUUGAUAUUAUUCAUGAGCUUCUGGAUUCAUCACUGAUCGUAUUAGUGUGAACUGCUUUGAGAACCAUUAUACAAAUGCUAGUCAAGACUCGCUUUAUAUCCAGUUCUAAUUUAAUUUCCAUCAAGAAAAAUCGUAACAGUUGGAUGUGAAAAUUCUUGCAUAUGCUGCCAAAGGGGGAGGGGGAUAGAUGGUGCUGGAUGUGCAACGCUGUAGAGUUUUGUGCCCAAAGCCUGCAAAGAGCACCAGGGGAAACUGACAAGGGAACACAGCAGCAACCACCCCUAACCCUCUCUCUCUAUAGCUAGUGCUGAAAAAUCUCUCUUCACCGUAAAAGUGAAAAUGAAAAGGGAUUUAAAACACCAUGGCAGUUUCACCUCUAGACUGAAGGCAUUUCUCCCAAUGCAAACUUCUCAGUUUCAUCUUUCCUCCGAGUGAGGAGACCUCGCAAGGGCACAGUGCUUACCUAGGUUCCGUUCCCUUUGGAAGGAGGUCGCCAGAGGCUGACUGUCAUUUUGUCAUAUUCAGCUGGUUUACAAAUAUGCAGGUUGAGCAUGAGCUGGAGGCUCAGCUUCAGCAUUCUAACAAACAGCCGCUGCUCCCCUAUCAGAUCUCCAAGGAAAACAGCUGGCAACCUAAGGAUCUAACAGUUGGGCGGGGACCCUCUGGACAAAUGUGGCUCUGCAGGCUUCUCCGUCUGGCUCUUCAGACUCUGCCCACAUGGUUCCCCUGGGCUGCAGCCUUCACUGGCCCUGAUCUGUGCACUGAGUGCUUUAAAGAACCAUAACAUUGUAGAGUUGGAAAGGACCCAAGGGUCAUCUAGCCCAACUCCUUGCAAUGCAGGAAUCUUUUGCCCAGUGCGGGGCUCGAACCCAUGACCCUGAGAUUAAGAGUCUCCUGCUUUACCAGCUGAGCUAUCCCUGUAGUGGAAUGUGUUCCUGAAGUUCAGUAAUGCUUUCCUGGAUGGAGCAUUGGGGUGGGGUGCAGAAACUAGCCUACUGUACAAACGUCACAUUUACAUUUGUCGCUCCACCCACAUUUCCUUCUGGCCCCACCCACCACUAGCAUGGGGCCUUCCGAAUGUUGCCCAGAAGAGAACGUGGUCCUUUGGCUGGAAACGUUUUCCCAAACCUUUGCUAAGAGAACACAACCUCAGCUCUCUAUCUCUUUCCCUUUCUUCAACCCAGUCUGACUCAAACUGUUUACGCAGACACAAUGCUUCCUUCUCCUGGCCAGAGGGCUGGCAAAUCUCCUCUGACUCUCACCAACGCUCCUUGGACCAUUUUAUUCAUGGAAAACACCUGCUGAAUAUUUCAGGCUAUUGGACGCUCUUUUGUCAAGUCCCAGACUCUCACCCACUAUUGCCCCCAGGCCAACCUACGCUCACAGAAAACCCGCUCACAGAAACCUGAUAGGAAACACAAAACAACAUAAUUUUCUGAGUUCAAGCAAAACAUUGGGCUUUAUUUAGUUCUCAGCACAAAGAUGAAACUGAGUAACUUGAGGUGGAAAAGCCCCUUCACUGUCGAGGCAAUAUUUGACAAGGGGGUUCAAUUUUUUGUCAGUUUCUCAUCUAUGGAAGGAAAAGGGCAAGCUGGCAUGGGAGAGCUUAAUAACUGUGUCAGCAAUGCAAUGCAGGAUUCACAGGAGGAAAACACAGGGACCAACAGCAACAGUACCCCAGUUUGUUAACUUUUACUGAUCGUAAUAUUCAGGGAUUCCGGAUAACACAACACAUUUCACAUUUCGUCCUAUUUUCUUCUGUCAACGAUUUAGGCAGAGCCAGCAUCCAUUCAAAUAUUCACCCAUUCAUUCAGUUUGUUAUCAAUAAUAAUACGCUGGGAGACUUAAAACAGAAACAAUAGAUGCAAUAAGGGUUGUUGGAAGCAGGGCUACAAGGCACUUGAAGCAGGUGAAUACUUGAAUACUUGAAGCUAAUACCCUUUAAAGAUAUAUGAAUGCAUGAGUACGUUAUAUACACAACCUUCAUGAAGACUUGCAUGACAAAGGUGUAUAAAAUUAUGGUGUGAAGAAAGCAGAAUAUUUUCUCCUCUCAUAAUAUUAAAAUAGGAGUCAUCAGAUGAAGCUAAAUGGUGGGAGAUCAGAGCAGAUAAAAGGCAGCACUUCUUCACAUGGUGCGUAGUUAAACUGUGGAAUUUUUUACCAUAUCAUGAAAACAACAUACAAAAAUGCAUUAUGAGAAACUGCUUGAAAAGAAAUGUGUACUAGGAUAAAUUCUCUAAUUUGCUGAAGGAUUUCCAUGAUGAAUAUGGUAAUCACAAAUUGCUGCAGAAAUUUGAAGAACUGAAUUUAAGAUUGUAAAAAAUGCAAAAGUGGGGGAAUGGAAAUGGGCAGAUUUUUUUCCCAUCCCUCGCUAUGGCUAAAGCCAUUUUGCCAUGCCCAAUUACCCGUAGGGGUGAGUCAGCUCAGCACGGAGCUAGAAGGAGCAGAGAAUGCAAUAACUGAGUUGUACUGGGCAGAUCCAUAUAGAAGGGUCAAUGCAGAGACAGAAUCAACUUCAAACAGAGCUGUUUACACACUGUACAUUGAAAAUACAUCCCCCCAGGUCUGUGUGCACACCAUACAUUUGUGUGCGCAAAGCACAUUUAUAGUGCAAUUUCCCCUCAAAAAAAAAAAAAAUUCCUGGAAACAGUAGUUUAAGGAGACUGGGAACUGUCAUUCUUUGAGGGGUAAACUGCAGUUCCCAAGAUUCUUUGGAGGUGGGAAUGUGCUUUAAGUGUGUGGUGCAUGUACAACCAAGGAAAGUCUGCCCAAAUGGGAACUGGAAUGAAGAUACAGAUAGGCAGGAUGAUGGGCAGGAGAAUAGAGGUGCUGGGAAGCUGGGAAGGGAACAGGUAGGCAGAGCAACAGAAGACAGGCAGGCAUGCAGCUGGCAGGUGGGGACAAGAAACAACCAGAGUUAUAAGACACUUCCUUAUCUGAUAACAACGGUCAGGUUGGGAACUUGAAAAGUAUCCAGCAUAGGGUCAUAUUUGAGCAACUUAAUGCUUUUAUGUAAAAACAUUUUUUAAAAAAAAAUCAGAUUCAGUAAUCUUGUUAGGAUUGGUCAAAUCCAGGCCAAUCAAAAGGAGUAAAAUCAUCUUUCCCUUAAGUAGCAACAAGUAUUACUAUAAGUUGGUCAACUCAAUAUACACAUACACAACUUUAAAAAUAAUCAGAUCUCAUGAAAAGAAAUGCAUGCUCCUGGUGGACAGGGGAGCAUUCAGUAGACUUUUAACUUUAUUUGAGUAGACUAUACAGCCUAAGCAGUUUAAUAAAUCUGCACACUUUCCACACACAGAGAAGUGGGAUCAUUUGAUUUUAAUAUGUAUUGCUAAUUUGCUUCACCCUUAGCAGUAACAGCGCAAUAAACAAAUGAGCCCUUGGGUCUGCAAAGAUGUGCUUGCAAUAGUCUCCUAGAUGGAUGACAUCGUUAUUAUAUGGCACUGCUAUGCCCCAAAAAGGUUCUUGCCCCUUUUUAUAUCUGUUUUAUUACUGAUGUGCUUUAUGAUCUCUGUGGCUGCUAUUUUUCCUUUCCAGCCUCUCUGUUGUAGGCUUAACUGUAUACAGUCUGCUUUAUAUCUAAUUGUUGGCCUUACUAAUUCUUAAGAUGUUGUGAUUGCUGUAACUCAUGUUUUACCUUGUAUGGGUUGCUCAUUUUUGCCUGUACCCAAGAUCAGCAGGUGAAACGCUGGCUGUGGGCAUGGAAGGCAGCAAUCUGAAAACUUAGUUACUAGUCAUUUACUUAGGGCACAUCACCUGUCUUCCAUGAUGGAACUCAAGGCAGCAUCCACAGAGUUCUCAUGGGGCCUCGCAUCUAAGCACUGGUCAAACGCAGACCUGCUUAGCUUCAAUAAGGUGGCUGUAUCAUUGUCUCCAGACCAUGUUUUCAGACUAUGCCCUGGAAGUGAUUUUUCAGUUUGUGAAAGCAAAGAAGGUAUAGAAGGGUGGGGGGGUGGAGGACAAUAGCCUGCUAUUGGCCACAGCCUAGAUCAGGGGUGGAAGGCAACUCCUAUCAUCAGCAGGGACUGAUGGGAUUUGGAGUCCAGCAGUAUCUGGAGGGCACCAACUUAUAAUGGAAGCAUGGACUAGAGGGAUCACAUGUAUCAAUAUGCCAGGCAACGCAGGGCUAGAAGGCUGGAUAUGGAAGACAGACAACCGGCUUGAUUGGUGAUAAGACAGAGAAGGAUGAGAGAUGGCCUCUGGGACAGGAAAAUUGGGAUCCGUUUCAUGUUUCCAGCAGCUCGUAGAAACAGAGAGGAACACUCACAAAUGCAAUGGAACAAAUUGCAUGGUGAGAAUCUGGAUUUUUCCACUGGUAUGUGGAUAUCUGGAUCACCAUUCAAGGUUAUGUUUUUUGAUUGCAGGCAAAGCAGCCUCUCAGGCGUUCUGGAGUAAUGGAGGUGUGAAGAGGACCCAGGAAGGGAUGGCUCAAAGUCUGUCAUCAAAAUUCCCCCGGUGGCUCCUGCCUAUAUCUUUAGGCCCUAACAGGCUUACCUGGUGGUCUUACCUGGCAGAAGCAGUAGCAGCAGCGCUUAGUGGUUUGGAGCCACCUUUUAUAUUUCCCACAAUGCCCCAGGGUGACACUAAGGCAGGGCACUGUGGGAAAUUAAAAUGGUGGCUCUAAGCUACACCAUGUGGAGUGACCAGAGCAGGUAUAGGAGUGGGCCUUCCCAGGAUGCAGGGCCUUGGAAAUUGUCCAUGGGUGUCGCAGGCUGACGCCAGUCCCAGAAAACAAUAUGGUAGAAGUGGACUGUUUAGUCUACCCAAGGGACAGCAAUAGAUCGUAAAAAUCCCUUGCAAGUUGCAAGUCAAAGUAGCAAGCUUAGUGUUUUUCCAAUGAUCAUAUUAUCUGUCUCCUUUGAGCAUUUCAGCAGCUUCCACACAGCAUCCCUCAUAUUUUAUCCCACAUUUUGUGAGUCCCAAAGCUGCUAUGAACAGAAGCAUGCGUGAUCUUUUUAUAUCGUUACUGAGUAGUUUAUCAUUUCACUGUUCCUCAAUUUCAGGUUGCAAUUCUCCUGUUCAAUCAUCCAAUUACAGAACAAAAGCUCUAUGAAUCUGCUUACAUUAACAGUUCCUCACUAUGAAUAAUCAAUAUGCAAUAGCUGCUGCAGAAUAGUUACAAACCCCACUGGUGGGGAUAGGGGGGUGGGCACACAGAAUAAAAUUAAACAAAAAUUACACACCCAAGCGAUGCCAUUAAAUUGAUCACCUAUAUCCUGUCUUAAUAAAUACUCUUUUCCCGUUAAGUGUUUUUAUACUUUUUAGAGCUUUUUAAUUGCGCUGUUGUUCACAUCCUUGUGAUUAUCACAGUGCACAGGUGUUUUAUAAAUACAAAUCAUCAUUAAACCUCUUAUAUUUUACAGCCCAAUCCUUAAAAGCAGUCUGCCAAUGUAAGCCCCGUUCCAUUCAACCACAUAUGUGUGAACAGAAUGCUUUGCCAUUCAAGCUGUAAGUUAUUUCCCCCCAAGGGCCCUCUGUGUGUUAGAAGCACAGUCUUGGUAUAACUGAUUUUCCAAUUUUCACAUUACAAAGUAAUGGGAAGCAGAAUGAGAGCUUUCAUUUUGCUUCCCCAUAAACGUGGACCUACACAGUUUCAAAAUUGACUGUAAGCAGGAACUCCUGUAAUUAAGCUUCCACUGCAGUUGCUCUGUUUCUUUUUCUUGCUGGUAUCCUUGCCGGAUUUCGGUGGGGGAAAGCCUGUAGUCAAAUGAUGAAGCUGAAGCUAAGCUGGCCUUGGUCUGGGUCAGUGCCUGGAUGGAAACUGGACAUUAUUAUUAUUGUUAUUGUUGUUGUUGUUGUUAUUGUUGUUGUUGUUGUUAGACUCCUCUGACUGGCUUGCCCUAGCUCGGGUUGCCCUAGCUUCCGACAAAAUUAAAAACAAAAAAACCCCUCAAACAUUCAAAAAGUCCCGGAAAACUGGUCCACAUUAUGCAUUUAAAGCACAUGGCUUCCCCCCUAAAGUAUCCUGGAAAUUGUAGCUUGGCCCUCACAGAGCUACAAUUCCCAGCACCCUUAACAAAUCACAGUUCACAUGAUUCUGCAGGGGGAAAUCAAGGACUUUAAACACAUGGCAUGGACGUGAACCCCUUGGAGUUUUGUGAAGCAACAAAGUUGGAAUAAAGUGUUGGUGCUGACCUUUAAAGUCCUAAACGGCCUCGGUCCAGCAUACCUGAAGGAGCGUCUCCACCCCCAUCGUUCUACCCAGACAUUGAGGUCCAGUGCCGAGGGCCUUCUGGUUGUUCUCUCACUGCGAGAAGCCAAGUUACAGGGAACCAGGCAGAGGGCCUUCUCGGUAAUGGCACCCGCCCUGUGGAAUGCCCUCCCACUAGAUGUCAAAGAGAAAAAUAACUACCAAACUUUUAGAAGACAUCUGAAGGCAGCCCUGUUUAGGGAAGCUUUUAAUGUUUAAUAAGUUAUUGUAUUUAAGUGUUUUGUUGGAAGCUGCCCAGAGUGGCUGGGGAAACCUAGCCAGAUGGGCGGGGUAUAAAUAAAUUGUUAUUAUUAUUAUUUACAAUUGCAUUUUAGAAAUUUUUAUUCUUCCUCCCUACAGGCUACACACCUGACUGAUCCUGCUCAGAGCCUCCCUUGCAUGCUUUUGCUUUUUUUAAGAUGAGCAAAAUUCCUUAUGUGGUGUUUACAAAGCAAAAUGUUAACCAUAGCCGCUGGGCUGUAAGUCAGAGCUGGAACUAAAACAACCUUUGCAAAGCUGAUGGCCUCCAAAUGUUUCGGACUACAACUCACAUCAGUUCCAGGCAGCCAGAUUAUAAACCCACCAGCAACCAAUCCAGUGAGGAGGAUAAGGCUGAACCGCCCUGUGUUUUGCAGGAAGAAAAGCUAUGAAAUUUCACAAAAGAAAUUUCAUUUCUUCAAGGCUUCAAUUAAAUUUUCUGUGCUGGGCUGA